AAAAAAAAGCAUGGUGUCUUGGCCUGUGUGUCACACUCAGCAUUUGGCAUUUGACUUCUUUACACUCUUAAAAGCUAUUGCAGGGCUAGAAUGGCAAAGAUGAAACCAAGAAUGCAAAUAUCUUAUCCCCAAAAAAUAUAUGGCAUGAGACCUACUUGUCUGCACUAAGUGCCUCAAGGGGUAUGGCUUAGUCAAACCACAAUUCCAUGGAACUUAAUGAAGCAGAGCACUUUAGUGAAAAGAGAAAAGAAGAAAGAAAA
rnacentral:lncRNA from 1 species